GACGAACGCUGGCGGCGUGCUUAACACAUGCAAGUCGAACGGAAAGGCCCUGCUUUUGUGGGGUGCUCGAGUGGCGAACGGGUGAGUAACACGUGAGUAACCUGCCCUUGACUUUGGGAUAACUUCAGGAAACUGGGGCUAAUACCGGAUAGGAGCUCCUGCUGCAUGGUGGGGGUUGGAAAGUUUCGGCGGUUGGGGAUGGACUCGCGGCUUAUCAACUCGUUGGUGGGGUAGUGGCUUACCAAGGCUUUGACGGGUAGCCGGCCUGAGAGGGUGACCGGCCACAUUGGGACUGAGAUACGGCCCAGACUCCUACGGGAGGCAGCAGUGGGGAAUAUUGCACAAUGGGCGGAAGCCUGAUGCAGCAACGCCGCGUGCGGGAUGACGGCCUUCGGGUUGUAAACCGCUUUCGCCUGUGACGAAGCGUGAGUGACGGUAAUGGGUAAAGAAGCACCGGCUAACUACGUG
rnacentral:rRNA from 1 species